UACGUAGGGUGCGAGCGUUAAUACGGAAUUACUGGGCGUAAAGCGUGCGCAGGCGGUUGUGCAAGACCGAUGUGAAAUCCCCGGGCUUAACCUGGGAACUGCAUUGGUGACUGCACGGCUAGAGUGUGUCAGAGGGGGGUAGAAUUCCACGUGUAGCAGUGAAAUGCGUAGAGAUGUGGAGGAAUACCGAUGGCGAAGGCAGCCCCCUGGGAUAACACUGACGCUCAUGCACGAAAGCGUGGGGAGCAAACAGG
rnacentral:rRNA from 1 species